AUUGAACGCUGGCGGCAGGCUUAACACAUGCAAGUCGAGCGGGGGAGGUUGCUUCGGUAACUGACCUAGCGGCGGACGGGUGAGUAAUGCUUAGGAAUCUGCCUAUUAGUGGGGGACAACAUUCCGAAAGGGAUGCUAAUACCGCAUACGCCCUACGGGGGAAAGCAGGGGAUCUUCGGACCUUGCGCUAAUAGAUGAGCCUAAGUCGGAUUAGCUAGUUGGUGGGGUAAAGGCCUACCAAGGCGACGAUCUGUAGCGGGUCUGAGAGGAUGAUCCGCCACACUGGGACUGAGACACGGCCCAGGCUCCUACGGGGGGCAGCAGUGGGGAAUAUUGGACAAUGGGCGGAAGCCUGAUCCAGCCAUGCCGCGUGUGUGAAGAAGGCCUUUUGGUUGUAAAGCACUUUAAGCGAGGAGGAGGCUCUUAAGGUUAAUACCCUUGAUGAGUGGACGUUACUCGCAGAAUAAGCACCGGCUAACUCUGUGCCAGCCGCCGCAGUAAAAC
rnacentral:rRNA from 1 species